CCACAAAAAAAAAAAAAAAAAAAGUUAUAAAAUUAAACAUCAAAGCUCUCUCUAUCACUAUGUAUUCCAGUUUAUGUGCUCUUGGAUCUCAUUUGUCCCCACUUCAGCAGCUGCUUCCCCAACCUUGUUUCUCUCUGAAAAUCUGCUAAAUUUGCAGCAUGAAAAUUGGCACAACCAAAAAAUGCUAGUAAAUGAUGCAAAAAAUUUGCAGAUUCACCUACCGUCCACUAGGCUAUUGGUCCAAGAGAAGGACAUGGAAGAUGAUUGGGAUUUUCUAAUAUCUUCAAAUGUUGGGUGAGAUGAGUAGCAUGAACUCUCAGAAUAAUUCAACCACAUAUCUUUAGAAUUGAUAUGUUGGAGCAGAUAUGCAUCCAUAUCUUCACUGUCAGGCUCAUUAGGCUCGUUCUUGCCCUCCAAAAUCUUCACGGCUUGCCUCAUUGUUGGCCGAGAACUAGGCUCAGGAUACGCGCACAACAAACCUAAAUGAAGUACUCUCUCCACUUCUUCCUCAUCGAACCCUCCUCUAGCCUUUAGCCUUGGAUCAAAGACACUCAGUAAUUGCCCUUGCAUCAUUGACUUCCAUACCAAUUCUACAAGUGGCGGCUUCCCUUCUUCUAUAGGCCUUCUUCCACACAUCACUUCCAAAAUUAAUACCCCAAAACCGAACACAUCUGUUUGAGCUGACGCUCGACCACUGCGAACCACCUCAGGCGCCAAGUACCCCACCGUUCCAACCACCCGCGUGGUGCUAGCCACCUGACCAUGGCUGUGCAUCCGAGCCAGGCCAAAAUCACCUAAUCUUCCAUUCAUUUCCUUAUCAAGUAAUACAUUGCUGGCUUUAAUGUCUCUAUGUAGGACUUUAGACUCCCAUCCCUCGUGCAAAUACAGUACUCCUGAAGCAACAUCUUUCAAUAUCCUUAUUCUCUCUUCACAGCUUAACAUUUUACUCUCUUCACAAUCGAACACCCUCUUAUCCAAACUCCCAUUUUCCAUAUAAUCAUACACUAACAUGAAGCUUCCUUUUUCUCUCUUGCACCAACCUCUCAACCCAACCAAACUCUUGUGUUUCAAUCUUCCAAGGCUAGAAAUUUCAGCCAAAAAUUCUCUCAUCCCAUUAUUUUCAUGUGAAAUUCGCUUCACUGCAACCUCAGUCCCUCCUGGUAAUACACCCUUAAAGACCUUCCCAUUUCCUCCAAUUCCAAUGACAUUUUCUUCACUAAAUCCUUUAGUUGCUGCCUCAAUUUCUUGAUACGUAAUUCUAUGUGGCCAAUAUUCCAAUUCCCACUCCUCCAUGUCCGCUCUUUCCCUUGCCCUCCUCUGCUUUCUCCUAAUAUAAAACACAGUAAUCAAGGCAAUAAAGACCAUAACAAGGAAACUUCCAACUGUGGCUCCUGCAAUGAACCCUUUAGACCGAAAAACAGAACCCUUUGGAAGAACAAACGAUGGCAACCCAGUUGUAAUCAAAUUUUCACUUAAUGAAAAAUUGGAAUUGCUAAAGCUCCAAGCCAGAAUCUUGUGACUCUGAACAAGUCUUCCUGUUGCAGAAGUGAACCCAAUAUACAUUUCUUCCUCAAAAACUUCAGAAAGAUUAAGAGAAGCAUUUAACAGAGGCCGACUAGGCCUUUUCAUGCCAACAGGGGCCAUGGUAAUAUUAAUAAAAGAAUCUGCAUAAUCAAUCCAAACUUGAUAAUUCUCACCAUUAUUGAGGUCCAAUUUUUCGAAGAUGCUGUUACUCCUUUUAUUUUCAGGCCAAUAUCCUGCAUCUGCAGCAAAACUUGACCUGAGGGAAUUCAGAUCUAUACCAACAUGGUUGUCGUUCAUGUCAUUGAAUUCUUGGUUGGCGAACACAUCGAACUCGACCCCAAAAACAUGGUUGCUGAAUUUAGCAUCAUUCGUCCGAUUAAACAAGCCUAAAUUUUGGGAUGAGCUAGUACCAUCGAUCCCAGUAAGUGGGACGAAAAUGAAAACCAAGCCAUGUCCUGGGAGAACAUUCUCGUACGGAGCCAUAGCAAAAAUGAAAGAAGUAGAGAAUGGAUAGAAAUAAGAGGAAUUAGGAGCUCUGGUAGGUAUUUUUGAUGGGUAUAGAGCACGACCAACUGCGAAAGGUGUUCUGUUAGUAAGGGAGAGAAUACGAGAUUCGAUGGUGGCAUUGCUAUAGAGAAGCAAGUCGGAGGAAUUAAAGCCAUUGAAGACAAAAUCAAUAGCUGAUACGGACAAACAAGAAAGGAUAAUCUGAGGCAGAAACAAAAGAAGAGGAGGCUUCAUUUUGCCAGUUUGCUACCACGGGAGCAGAAGAAGCCUCUGUUUCAUGGGAUACCUUAGGUAGAUACUAAAUAGAUAUGGCUUGAAUGGGAAGGAAAAAGAAUUGAAAUGAUGAAGCAUAGCAGAAUUUUACUGGUCAAACAUUUUGGUUUUGGACGUGUAACAUGUCGGUGAAUAUGGGAAUAGUUCCUUUGAAUAUUACAAAUAUAAAACAGCCUUGAAAGAUCAAAGAAGGUUAAUUUCAUACAGAAAGAGCGACGGGAAUGAAUUCAAAGAGCAAAGUACAAAUACAAC
rnacentral:misc_RNA from 1 species